GAGGUCUUAGCUUAAUUAAAGUAUCUGAGUUGCAUUCAGGGGAUGUAGUGUUGUAAAUUACAGGCCUU
rnacentral:tRNA from 1 species